AUGGAUACAGGGAGUCAGGUCUGUAAUCUUGUGUGGUCAAAGAAUGUGAAUGAGCUUGUUAGCACACACGGAUACUCCCAGAAUCAGAUAAUAGUGUGGCGGUAUCCAACGAUGUCAAAGCUUGCCAUGUUGACAGGACAUACAUUCAGAGUAUUAUAUUUAGCCAUCUCCCCUGAUGGACAGACAAUUGUUACUGGUGCUGGUGACGAGACGCUCCGGUUUUGGAACGUGUUUCCGUCUCCCAAGUCCCAGUGUUCUGACAGCUUAAGUAGCAUUGGAGCAACAUCAUUUGUUAGGAGCUACAUCCGGUGA
rnacentral:rRNA from 1 species